GCGCCCAACAGCCCAGGUGGUCCUGGCCUCGGGCUUCAAACCCGAGCGGUCCGUUGAGGACCGGGGGUUCGAUUCCCCUUGGGCGCC
rnacentral:tRNA from 1 species